CGGAAAUCAGAUAUACAGCAUUCGUGAGACGGAAUGACAAUUUCGAUCGCACGCACUUGUCUAACCUCUAUCUGCCCGUUAUUAAUUUGGAAUAAAUUAUUCUAGACUCUCGGCGAACAUUUAACGGUCAAUGUGGUGCUCCAAUUUUAUAUUCAACGUAUCGAAUACGUAUACGCUGUGUAAAAUUUAUAAUUAUAUACAACAAUAACGUGUGUGUGUGCGUGGAAGCCAGAGCACAUUGCAAGAUAUAAAAGUGCCGGAAAGAGCAGGUGGCUACUCAUACAAAGACAGCUCGAAAUACUUCACUCGUAACCGUUUCAUUUACUGGCGUAUUUGUCACGAUAUGCUCGAACUGGUCGAACACAGUCUGGACAUCAAUCUGGCGAACUGCCGGGUGAGAUACAAGUUCACAGACACUCCCAUCUUAGAUGGAAUUUCCAUUCAUGAGACAGUUAACUCUGUCGUUAUUUUGAUCGUCACCGUCUCCAGUGUUCACAAACUUUCGUUUUCUCAUCCAGAUAAGAUUCACAGGCAGGAAAACUUGCUGGGCACAUACACGGAUCUUAGUGUACAGUCUAUAUUUAGCGAAGCUUCCGUACAAAAUGCCAGAGAUCCUCAUACAUUUCACACCAUCGCCAAUGCCGGGACCACAAAUUCACCGGUUCCUCACGCGGCAGCGUCGUGGCUCACAUUGCCGCAGGAAGACGCGCUGUUUGCUCUCGCCUACAGUUCAGCCACUAUACUGCUCCUGAGGCUGGACGCGCUGACAGGCCUCGUGCAGAGCAGCGAAUUGAAGCAGGACUCGAUAGUGCCCAGGUUCUUGAGCGGCAUUGCCACCGCGUUCCGAGGCCGCAAUACCGAGGCCCACGUGGCAAUGUCCCUCGUUAUACACAGUUACGGUAGCGAUAUGUACCUGUUCGCGCUGUGCCGGGAAGGCAACGUACGUAUGUGGUCCUGCAAUAAGACACAAUGCACAGCGGUGACAGACGCGGCAAUCGAGAAUCGCAUUGUGUCCCAAGGUGCGCAGGGUCACGUGCUGAGGAAGGCGCUGGGCAACGAUAACGAGCUGUAUCUCGGCACGUUCUUGAAAUUCGGCGCCGGCUGCGAAUUCAGCGUUCUCAAGCCCGUGCAAGAUAACGGCAUGUUCAAGUUCGUUCGAUUGUGCACGUUGUACGCGCCCGACCAACACCUGGUGGAUUUCGCGUUCACCCCCACGAGAUUGUGGGCGGUGUGGAGGACGACGGACAUGGACGCCGUGGCGGUGACGCACGCACGGUUGUCGCUGAACGGCGCCCACGUGAACUCCGAGUGGGAGACGACGAUUCUGGAGCAGGCGCGCGACCGGGAUUACAUCGUGAGCGAUCCCGGCACGGAUCCGCGCCAGGCGUACAUCAAUUACAUCUUUCAUCCCGGCCAGUUCUCACUGGCGGACAUCACGAAGGCGCUGAGCAUCUACAGAAGGUCGAAUCUCAUCGCGGACAUGACCCUCUCGCCGGCCGUGUUGAAGGAGAGAGUGUGCAUGGCGGUGGAGGCGGAGAUGCAGGCGGAGGUGAUGGAUUACGUGAUCAUGGACGAGGAUUACCUGGAGAUCGCCAACAGAUGCUGGUCCAAGUUCUACUCGUGCGUCGUUCAGUAUCACGCCAACGGCACGCGUCCGGUAGGCUUGCUGCUCCUGCCGAGCGUCUACGGUGUCGUCCUGCUGAAAAAGUCGUCGUUCUCGCUUCUGAGACCGAUGGAAGCCCUGGAGCAUCUGGCGCUUUGCAACGAGAAAUCCUACACGUCCCGCUUCAAGACUACGCCCGUUCUUUCCCAGGACGAAGACACCUGCCAGGAUCUGAUCGUCCUGAUGUCGGCGUUGGUCAUGCUGGGGGAACAAUUGUCGGAAGAGGCGAAGACGGAAAUCGAGAGGGAACUGUAUCACCUGAGGAGUCCGGAUAUCAUAAUCGACGAUCUCCUGCUGAAGCUGAUGCUGGAGAAGCCCGACGAUCCGUUGUCGGACUUCGAUUUCCAAUCAGAACUCUAUCACAAGCUGGGUAACGUGAAGGACAUAUCCGGUGCCAUGGCCAUGUUGUUGGAAGCGUUAACGUACGACCUCGGGCAGCCGAGCAAGCUACAGUUCGAGAACGAGCAAGACGCCUCGAAGGUUCUGCUGCACGUGAAUCACCUGUUCGGCAGCCAACUGGGCAUUUCCGCGGUGUCGGAAACCGUCACGCAGAUCGCGCUCCUCAGGUUUUCCAUCUGCAGGGAUCUAUUGAUACUGCAGCAAAUCAUACUGCAACGUUCCGAGAUAUUCGACUCGAGGUCCCUGCACACCGUGCGAUCGUCGUUGGCGCCGAGGACCGUCGUGCUCACCCAGGCUUACUAUGUCGUCACGUGGAUAUGCGAGUCCACGGCGACGUACACGCCGUCGCAGUCGUUGCUAGAAUCCAGCGCUCAGCGUCUCUCGGCACUGAAGCUCGUCGACUCGCGAAUCAGCGUCGGCCAGAGGCAGCAUCGCUCCCUGUCGCUCUUGGAGCUGUUCAUUCACAGCAGCGGCGCGAAGCACGCCCACAUCCUGAUGGCUCAAGCGAACAUGGACCCGACGACCUUGAUACCUUGGCACUACAGCAUGCUGACGCACGUUACGCUCCUCGCGCAGCUCGUAUGGCCGAUAUCCGGUAACUUCGUCUUCCCCGAAUGGCUGCUGUCCAGCUGCCAAUUCCUGCUCGUGCAGGAAUACGUGAGGCUGCUGAACACGUGGUGCGAAUGGAACAGCGCCUCGAGGAAGUUCAUAUUGGCGGUCGCCUUGUUGGAGAUGGGAGAGAUGCAGAAGGCGUGCGACCACUUCCUUCGCGGUUCCAACGGCAUCCUGACUGACGUGUUCAUGGCGGACGCUCUGCUCGGCCCGAACGUCACGACGGGCAACAGCGCGCUGAUCCAUUAUUACCUGAAAGUGAUCAAACUGUUCGAGGAGCACAACGCGUCCGACUGUAUCAUCGAGAUCGCCGAGACGGCGAUCGCUGCCGCCGACACGGACGAUCCGAACCUACCAACCCUCCAUUCCAUAAUAUUCGCCCAACACCUGAACCUGGGCCAUCACACGGAGGCUUACCACUGCCUGAACGCGAACCCGGACGCCGCGCGUCGGGUGGACUGCCUGCGGCAGCUCGUGGUCACGCUGUUCGAGCGGAAGCUGCUGAUAGACCUGAUCUCCUUCCCUUACGUCGACAUGUACGAGGACCUCGAGAGAAUAGUGGAGGGCAGAGCGAGGAGCGUCGAUCUCAUGGAGAACAAUUACUACAACUUUUUGUACAGCUUCCACGUGAACAAGCAGAACAUGCGCAAAGCCGCAUCGGUGAUGUACGAGCAAGCCAUGCGUCUCAGCCAGGAGUCGCAUUCCGCGCCGAUCAUAUCGAGGCAGGCCCAGUGCCUGCUGGCGUGCAUCAAUGCUCUGCAUCACGUGAGCGAGAAGUACAGGUGGAUCGUGAGGCCUGUGAUCGAUCAGAACUUCACCGACGAGUCGAGCUCGCCGCAACUGCAGAAGAAGAGGGGCAUAGACGGGAAGGAGGUGCUGCACUACAAGAUCAAGAAACAAGUCGAGGUCCUCGAGUUGAAUGACAUCAAGAAGGAGUACUACAUAGUAGACGCGAGACUGAAGAUAUCGAAGGUCAAUUCGGAGAUGCACAUAGUCGCGCACACUGAACCAUCCGAACUGGUCGUCACUUUAUGCAGCACCGGCCUGUACACAACGGCGCUGCGCUUGUGCGACGAGUUCAGAAUCAGCAAAACGUCCGUGCUCGAAAGUCUGACGUCGCAGUGCAUCAAACUGAGCCAACGCGAGGAUCCGAACGCCUGGGACUGGCUGAUACAAAACGACAUAUUCGAUAUCGGCAUAUCCAAUACGACUAUUACAAAUACCGCUUGGAGGUUGUUGGAAUACUUCACGUUGAAACACGAGAAGAGUACCAACAGUGAACUGCACAAAGCCGUUGCGCGGAUGUUACUGCAAGACGGAGCCUUCCUGCCGCAAUGGUUAUUAAUAUCGUACAAGAAACGAAACGCCUCGGAGCUCCUGCGUCUUAUGUUAAAUACCGGCCGACUGUUGGAAGCGAGCGAUUUGGCGGUAGAUUACAUCAAUGCGGUGUUGGGUAGCGGCAAAGAACAUUUCGGCCUGAAAACGUCAUUAUUGGCUACCGCGCCGCCAACCUGGUUGCCGCUCAACACUAUAGAAGUACUUUUAAGUGAAUUAGAAUGCUUGAGUCAAGACUUCACUUACGUAAAAAGCUACGAAAGAUUAUACACAACGUUGGAGAAAUACAUGGAAAUAGUGAAACGCAUUUCGGACGAUAUGAUCGAGAUAAAAAUGAAGAGCAAGCACUCCUAGUAAAUUAGGCAAAUUCUGCGUGUCUUCUGUUUGCGUAUCAUCUCUCGACCAGCCUCCUGUGAUGUACAUACUUGUAUCGGUUUACGUUAUCAUUACAGUAAUUGUAAUAAUAAUAAUAAAAAUAGUAGCUUUAUUGGCCACGACAACAGUAUAAUAUCAAUCAUAUAAUCUGUAACAAUUUAUGUCCAAAAGGCGAGGUAGCAGCACUAGAUAUCAAUGCCUGACCCGAGUAGAUGCAAUUGUAACAAUUUGUAACGGUAGCACACUUUAUACGCGCCAUUCCGAAGCAUCACGCACUAACAUCAUCCGCAGCGCACGUCACCUCCUCGCCGCCGAUAAACGCGAUAGCCGAGAGUUAUCGAAAAACUGUGAAACUCGCGGCGAAACUCACCAAGUCCUCGCGAUCCGAACCGAAACGGGCAACUGUCGUAAAGUUUCCCGAUAAAUGCACAGAAUCAUUUAGCAAAUUAUUUUUCGCUAUACAUCAGGUUGAUGAGGAAUUUCAGAAACCUGAUGCACAACAGAUACAAGAUCUUCAGAUGGCAUUACAAGAAUUCUGCAUUCCAGUCGAAAAUAAAACAGUAAACCCUGUCAUAUUUGAAGAGGUAUUGCCUAUUGCUUGCAAGUUUGUGAAAACGGAGAAGUCGGAACCUUUGCUGAACCAAAUCAGAUUUUUUCUCGAUCCUUUAGAUUUUUUUCUUAUGUAGAGGAACCACAGGAGUUGUAAUCGAGUUGGAAUAUAAGAGAGAUGAUAAAGAUACAAGCAACCGUCCAGAACAAGUUUUGAUACGAAUAUUAGAGAGUUGAAUGGUGAAACACAUUUCGGACAAUAUGAUCAAGAUGAAAAUGAUAAGCCAGCACUCCUGAUAAAUUCAGCAAAUUCUGUGUAUCUACUGUUCGUGUAUCAUCUCUCGACCAGCCUUCUGUGAUGUACAUACUUGUG